UGAGUAACACGUAUCCAACCUGCCGUCUACUCUUGGACAGCCUUCUGAAAGGAAGAUUAAUACAAGAUGGCAUCAUGAGUCCGCAUGUUCACAUGAUUAAAGGUAUUCCGGUAGACGAUGGGGAUGCGUUCCAUUAGAUAGUAGGCGGGGUAACGGCCCACCUAGUCUUCGAUGGAUAGGGGUUCUGAGAGGAAGGUCCCCCACAUUGGAACUGAGACAGGGUCCAA
rnacentral:rRNA from 1 species